CCUCAUAGGAAUUCUGGUGCUUGUUCAAAAACUAAAUAUGUUUCUACUGUUUUGUUUGUUUGUUUGUUUGUUUGUUUAGGGACUAUCAAUGGCAGUACCUCUUUUGGAAUCGACCAAAGAAAGGACAAAAUUCUGGGUUAGUUUUCAGAGUUAGCAGUAGCAGCAGUCUUCUGGGAAGCCACUUCUACAUUUUCGUGACUAACAUAUCUGCCGUGACUUUUGUGACUAACAAUAUCUGACAAUACAGAAAAUGACUACAGACCACAGAAUUAUGUCCCUGGGACUCAGACACAGUACAACCCAACCCAACAUCUCCCAAUGGUGGUUGUCACUUCCAUGCUGUCAUAGAGAAGAGAAAGUAUGAGGAAUGAGGAGACUGAAUGGGAAGUCUCUGGUCUUCAUUAAUUAUAGGAAUAACAACGAGAUGAGUGGCAGACACAAAGCUAAUUCAAUGAAUAUCAUGAUCAACAUUAAGAUACGUUUUGGUAUAAAGCAAUAUAAAUAAAGGAAUUAUAGCUACUUGCAUCAACACACAUAAACCUACUGAAGAUAAUAUUCAUCAUUAAAAGGAAAUUGCAGAAGUUUGUACACAGUAUGAUUCUUUUUAUAUAAAGUUCAAAGUAUACAGUGUGUGGGUUUGUGUGUGUGUGUGUGUGUG